GGAUUUUUGUCCCCGCCGCCACGGCUCUGAGGGCGGGAGCGGCAGACUCGGCUGCCAGCUCUACUGGCGUCCUGGCAAGGGCAGCGCUGAGGGGUGCUCCUGGUCCAGCUCUCCUGGCUCAGGGAUUCCUUGCCUAGGCGCCGGCGCCCCAGGCUCCUUGCCUAGGCCCCUGUGGCCUGCAUAGAGUGGCGCUGCCUGUGGAGGCGAUGGGAGAGAAGAAGGAGGGCGGUGGUGGGGGUGAUGCGGCGGCCACGGAGGGUGGCACAGGGGCUGCGGCCAGCCGGGCGCUGCAGCAGUGCGGGCAGCUCCAGAAGCUCAUCGUCAUCUUCAUUGGCAGCCUGUGCGGGCUGUGCACCAAGUGCGCUGUGUCCAACGACCUCACCCAGCAGGAGAUACAGACCCCGGAGAUACAACAGAGAAAUGCAUAAUGUCCAGUCAAUUUAUUAAAGUUCCAAAGUCGGUCGCGCGCAGUGGCUCACGCCUGUAAUCUCAACACUUCGGGAGGCCGAGGCGUGUGGAUCACGAGAUUUCAAUAUGAUUAAAGCAGGAGUGAGGACACAGCGAAAGUGAGACAAGGAAAAGAGAACAAAAUAAAACAGGAAAGACAGAAAAGCCAAUACCACACGUGUUAAGAGUUUCAAGGAAAAUAUGUUGGGAGUUCCUGGCAUAGAGAAUGUCACAAAGACAUGUUUUCAAUAGUAGUGCUAUCCCGAGGGCAGAGAAGACCCAGAGAAAGCCCAAGUGGCUGCUGGAACAAAAUCAGACACCGUGCCACCUGUCCACACUCCUUGGCUCUGCCAUCAUGCUGAAGAUCGCUUUAAAGGACUGGCUUCCCUCCCCCCAAAAUUAAAAGAGCACAGACUGAGAAACUGAAUGUGGGAGACAGCAGUGGAUUAUGCUGUUCUCAGGGGUCACCUCAGGUUUGGAAGCAUUCUUUCAAAUUAACCCAUCUCAGGCCAUCUGCAGAGAAGAAAGGUGGUACCUAACUUUUUUUCUUGUCGGCAUUUGGUAGGGGUGUUUUAUUGACCAAAUAUGUUCCCACAACCUAGUUUUUUGUGACUAACUAAAUAUAGUAGAGUUUUAAAUUUUAUCAUCAAAAUCUAUAGACAAUUUUUGAUGAAAAUAGACUCCAUCUCUAUGUCCUGCUUUUCUUCUUCUUAUUAAUUACAUUGCUGUAUAAAAGAACAAGACUUCAGCAUCAAGAAUAUCUUGUCUCUUGGCAUUGAAUUUAUACAAGGUGCUCUUUCUUUAAUGCUGUCUCAAAGGACAUAUUUUUACUCAUUAAAAAGGAAGAUCGGAAUCUAGUUGUAUGCACUGCUCCAACAUAUUAAUAAUUAAAAUUAGGAGGUAAAUGUGGUCAAAGCUAUAGAAAGACUGAGAUGUCAUUUAUAUGGAUUACUCUAUAGCACUCUACAAACAGAAAUUGUUAAAUAAUAGUUUAUAUAAAUAUUUUGUAGCAUUUCAAAUAUUUGAGUGCUUGAAGUUUCUCCUCUUCUAUAGUUCAGAUUAUCAAUUUGAAGACUUACUCCGCUAGUUAAUAUGUUUUUAGUCUCGUUUGAGUAUUAUAUAAAAGCAAUUUUCAGUUAAAUGUGUUCCGCUUACAUAAAACGUUACAAAUUAUUGAGGAUUUAAUUACUUAUUCAUGUUCCUGUAAUGUCUUUAGAAGAUUUUCUUAUUAUUACCUAUCAAUAUAUGUAUGCUUUGUCAAAGAAAAAUCAAACAUAUAUAUCAUUGAAAUUGAAACUUUUUAAAAGUACUUA
rnacentral:lncRNA from 1 species